UAAUGUACUCAGGUGAAUAUGAUGCUUGUGAUGUUACUCUGAGUGUACACUCAGAGUAACAUCACAAGCAUCAUAUUCACCUGAGUAC
rnacentral:miRNA from 1 species